GCCGAGUGCACUAGGAUAUGGAGAGACGUGUCUUCCUUUUGGGCACUACAAUUGAAAUACCAUGGGGCCCUCCAUCCAUACUGUUGUCUAAUUAGGACGUUAACAGGUCACUGAAAGUGAUGAUGCCACUGCUUACAGAUUCAAGUGCAUUCGUCCUCAUUCACCCUCCACCCACUUUAUACGAUCCCACAAUAACAAUUGCAAUGACGAUGGUCUUCAUUGUGGACCUCCUCUUCAUUAGGCCACUCUAUUACCGACUUGUUAGAUUAUGGCUUCGCU
rnacentral:misc_RNA from 1 species